UACAGAGGGGGCAAGCGUUAUUCGGAAUUAUUGGGCGUAAAGGGCGCGUAGGCGGCCUGGCAAGUGGAAGGUGAAAUCCCUCGGCUUAACCGAGGAACUGCCCUCCAAACUGCUUGGCUUGAGUCCGGGAGAGGUGAGUGGAAUUCCCAGUGUAGCGGUGAAAUUCGUAGAUAUUCGGAGGAACACCAGAAGCGAAGGCGGCUCACUGGCCCGAUACUGACGCUGAGGCGCGAAAGCGUGGGGAGCAAACAGG
rnacentral:rRNA from 1 species